CACUGAUUAUGAAGAGCUUGCUCGGAUUUGAAGAUGAACACUCUGCAAAGAGUGGCGAACGGGUGAGUAACACGUGGGAAACCUACCUCUUAGCGGGGGAUAACACUUGGAAACAAGUGCUAAUACCGCAUAAUACUGAUAACCGCAUGGUUAUCAGUUGAAAGAUGGUUCUGCUAUCACUAAGAGAUGGUCCCGCGGUGUAUUAGCUAGUUGGUAAGGUAAUGGCUUACCAAGGCAAUGAUACAUAGCCGAGUUGAGAGACUGAUCGGCCACAAUGGGACUGAGACACGGCCCAUACUCCUACGGGAGGCAGCAGUAGGGAAUCUUCCACAAUGGACGAAAGUCUGAUGGAGCAACGCCGCGUGUGUGAUGAAGGGUUUCGGCUCGUAAAACACUGUUGUAAGAGAAGAAUGACAUUGAGAGUAACUGUUCAGUGUGUGACGGUAUCUUACCAGAAAGGAACGGCUAAAUACGUGCCAGCAGCCGCGGUAAUACGUAUGUUCCAAGCGUUAUCCGGAUUUAUUGGGCGUAAAGCGAGCGCAGACGGUUGUUUAAGUCUGAAGUGAAAGCCCACAGCUUAACUGUGGAAGUGCUUUGGAAACUGGAUAACUUGAGUGCAGUAGAGGAGAGUGGAACUCCAUGUGU
rnacentral:rRNA from 1 species